rnacentral:rRNA from 1 species
UCUCAGUUCGGAUUGGAGUCUGCAACCCGACUCCAUGAAGCUGGAUUCGCUAGUAAUCGCGCAUCAGCCACGGCGCGGUGAAUACGUUCCCGGGCCUUGUACACACCGCCCGUCAAGCCAUGGAAGUCGGGGGUGCCUGAAGUGCGCUGCCGCAAGGAGCGCCCUAGGGUAAAACCGGUGACUGGGGCUAAGUCGUAACAAGGUACC